rnacentral:rRNA from 1 species
UACGUAGGGUGCGAGCGUUAAUCGGAAUUACUGGGCGUAAAGAGUGCGUAGGCGGUCCCGCAAGUCCGCUGUGAAAGCCCCGGGCUUAACCUGGGAAUGGCAGUGGAAACUAUGGGACUUGAAUCUGGCAGAGGGGGGUGGAAUUCCCGGUGUAGCGGUGAAAUGCGCAGAUAUCGGGAAGAACACCCGUGGCGAAGGCGGCUCUCUGGGACGGUACUGACGCUGAGACGCGAAAGCGUGGGGAGCGAACAGG